UAGGGAAUCUUCCGCAAUGGACGAAAGUCUGACGGAGCAACGCCGCGUGAGUGAAGAAGGAUUUCGGUUCGUAAAACUCUGUUGUUAGGGAAGAAAAAAUGUAUAGUAACUAUAUACAAAAGAGACGGUACCUAACCAGAAAGCCACGGCUAACUACGUGCCAGCAGCCGCGGUAAUACGUAGGUGGCAAGCGUUGUCCGGAAUUAUUGGGCGUAAAGCGCUCGCAGGUGGUUUAGAAAGACUGAUGUGAAAGCCCACGGCUCAACCGUUGAGGGUCAUUGGAAACUAAUAAACUUGAGAGCAGGAGAGGGAAGUGGAGUUACUAGUGUAGCGGUGAAUUGCGUAGAGAUUAGGAGGAACACCGGUGGCGAAGGCGGCUUUUUGGCCUGCAACUGACACUGAGGCGCGAUAGCAUGGGGAGCAAACAGG
rnacentral:rRNA from 1 species